GUGAAGCCACAAAAAGCUAUUGAAACGCUCAGCAAAGGAAGAGUAUAUUUUCAAUCCUUCAUUAAAUUACCACAUAUAUCAACUGGUACAUGACAUUACAUGUGCAUUUACAAUGUCAGCUUGGUUGAAAACAUUUAUUGUACUCCACAAAUGUUGUCUAUCUGCUAAUGAUAAAAGAGGUAAUCUGCCUAUUGUAAAGUUUCUCGUUCUUGCAAUGGAAGAAACAUCUCUGAGAAUAACUCCUAUUAUUAUCUCGCUCUCUGGAUUGGUCCGGAGCGGUAUUAUUUGCUAACUUACAUUGAGUCCAUCUACAUCCCGCUCCUACUUUUGACCAGCUCGCUAAAAGAUGGUUGACAGAAGCCUUGAUUGAGGAAAAGAUCAGUGACUUUCUGAUUCAUUGCUUCUGUAAGAUGGAUACCAUCCCAGCUGAUAAAUUUGCUAGGAUUGUUGCAGCUGACAGUACCAGGUGAGCCACACAACGAAUGCAAGUUGAAGUUGAGUGGUCCUCCUGUAGCUCCACAGCAAGGUUUGAAGGCUUCCUCAAAUUGGUACUUCUUUAAGUUCAUCAUAAUUGUUAGAUAUGCAUUCCAGUAAUCAGCAUAUAAGAUAUGACAAUUAGGAUUUAAUCUACGGAAUCUUUCCAAUCUCCUUUGCAGGAUCUGGUUGUGGACCAUUACUGCUGUGUUGACAGCUGCUGCACAUCCCAUAUGAUCAAGUGCAGCUUUCAGUGGACAUAAUGAGAUAUGUAGUGGGAGGCAUCCUAUUGGUGGUAAGCCUUGAACUACGAUGUACUUUGCUCCGCUUCCCAGCAAUGCCUAUACAUAUUAACACUGUCUACUUAGCAUUGCUGUGAUGUCAGAUAUCUGUGCUGCUAUUAUUCUUUAAAAAAUGCUUAUUUUGGAAAGUUAAGGUGUUUGGUCAAGCUUAUGAGAAAAAAUGCUUUUGAGUAGUACCAGAAAUUGUUUUCUGCUGCGGGGAAGAAACAAGUAGUUUUGUCUUGAACAUUAAAAACAUAAGUUGAUUUUUUAAUUUUUCUUAAGGACAAAAAUACCUUUACCAUACGUCUCAUGUCGAGGACAAUAUACUUGCUAUCCUUAGCUUAGCUACUGUAUUACUUAUAUACUUUGAUGUUUGGAAUUGUAGUGACCUGAUGAUAGGAGUAGUUAUAUUGUAUACUUAGCUUAGACUCCUAGUGUAGCUGAAUUUUGGAGGUAAAUGGUCUGCAUUUACCUGGCUUUGUAAAGAUAUUUUCUGAUUAAUAGAAAGUCUGUUUAAUCAAAAAAAAAAAAAAAAAAACCUUUACCAUAAAUUUAUAUUUACUAUCUCCAUAAUACAAACAAAAUCUAACCUCAUACGUUUCCAACAAUACAUAUAUGACCAAAAUCUCAUGAACUUGUUCCUUCUCUAUGUGAUUUUAAUUAAAUGAAAUAAUUUUUUUAAUUAAAGUCUCUCAUAAUAAACAUUUUAAAUCAUUCAUCUAUUAUAUUAAUAGUAAUUGUAAAGUGAAUCUUAGCUUUAUCACUUUGUAAUUUCACACUCAAAAUCACUUUUGUAAAGAUUGGCCAAAACAAAUUGUUCUUAUAAAGCGCAUUUCAAAUGAUUUGGCCAAACACAAACUACUACUUUUUCUAAAACAGCAUUUGACAAAAAGCACCUUUCAAAAUGAGCAGAUUUGAAAGUUUGACCAAACAGACUUUAAUACGAAUGCAUAAGUAGUACUAUGUCAAAGCUUUAAGUGAAACACUUUUCAUGUGCAUACCUCGAUUAGUUUGCUAACUUGAUCGACAGACUGUUGUGUGAGCCAACGUGUAGGUAAAGAGGACCCUUGUAUACGAGCGUAG
rnacentral:lncRNA from 1 species